AAAUCAUUUACAUUCUUUACUAACCUCAAUAAUACUUAGAAAAAAAUGUAAACAAUCCAAAUUGAGUAAUGCACCUCACAUUAUUCAAUUCAAAUUCACAAAAGAAAAAAUUGAAAAGUUCAGCUAAAAGAUAUAAAGUAGAAUAAUUAAAUGUUCAUGCGAAGUUGGGCAUAAGCACAGCUCAUAUAUUUUAUUCUUAAUAAUUAAUUCAUUCUAAUUGUACAAUUCCAUUUUGUUUGUCUUACCAAGGAAAAAAUAACAUUCAAAAUGUUAUGGCAAAUAGCAUUCAAAAUGUUGAUACAAA
rnacentral:lncRNA from 1 species